rnacentral:rRNA from 1 species
AGAGUUUGAUCCUGGCUCAGGACGAACGCUGGCGGCGUGCCUAACACAUGCAAGUCGAGCGAUGAAGUUCCUUCGGGAAACGGAUUAGCGGCGGACGGGUGAGUAACACGUGGGUAACCUGCCUUAUAGUGGGGGAUAGCCUUUCGAAAGGAAGAUUAAUACCGCAUAAGAUUGUAGUAUCGCAUGAUAUAGCAAUUAAAGGAGCAAUCCGCUAUAAGGUGGACCCGCGUCGCAUUAGCUAGUUGGUGAGGUAAUGGCUCACCAAGGCGACGAUGCGUAGCCGACCUGAGAGGGUGAUCGGCCACAUUGGGACUGAGACACGGCCCAGACUCCUACGGGAGGCAGCAGUGGGGAAUAUUGCACAAUGGGCGAAAGCCUGAUGCAGCAACGCCGCGUGAGUGAUGACGGCCUUCGGGUUGUAAAACUCUGUCUUCAGGGACGAUAAUGACGGUACCUGAGG